rnacentral:misc_RNA from 1 species
GAUGAAGAACGCAGCGAAAUGCGAUAAGUAAUGCGAAUUGCAGAAUUUCCGUGAGUCAUCGAAUCUUUGAACGCACAUUGCGCCCACUGGUAUUCCGGUGGGCAUGCCUGUUCGAGCGUCAUUAUCCUCCCUCAAAACUCCUGUUUUGGUGUUGGGCCGCGUUGGUCACCUCCGACCAACGGGCCUCAAAGACAAUGACGGCGUCCGUGGGACCCUCUUCGCAGUGAGCUUUUGUUAGCGCGCGUUGAGUUUAAAGGACCCUCCGCGCCGGCCACCUUUAUCUAUUUUACAAGGUUUACCUCGGAUCAGGUAGGAAUACCCGCUGAACUUAAGCAUAUCAAUAAGCGGAGGA